UACGUAGGUGGCAAGCGUUGUCCGGAUUUAUUGGGUUUAAAGGGUGCGUAGGCGGCCCUGUAAGUCAGUGCUGAAAUAUCCCAGCUUAACUGGGAGGGUGGCAUUGAUACUGCGGGGCUAGAGUACAGAUGAGGUAGGCGGAAUUCCUGGUGUAGCGGUGGAAUGCGCAGAUAUCAGGAGGAACACCAAUGGCGAAGGCGGCCUGCUGGGCAGUUACUGA
rnacentral:rRNA from 1 species